UGUGCCAGGCUAGUGCAAGAGUCUCUGUUGCUGCCUAGGGGGGUCCCAACUCCCAGGGGAGCCUGCUGUGCCCUCCAAGCCUCCUCAACACAGUGUCCAUCACGCUCAGGCCUGGGCUGUGCCCGCAAGGUGUGCGAGGAGUGAGGCAGGGCUCUCCGGGCACUUCUCUAGGCCGCUGGGGAGAGGCUGUGCAGGAACGUGUUGAAACGGCACCGAUCCUGUCCCUGCAGAGGGUGGUGCUGUGUAAAUGGGCUUGAAAGGGAGCACUAUCUAGUGGGCAGACUCUUGUGCCCCUUCCCCCCCGCCCCACCUCUCCCCAGCUUCAUCCCUUGUGGCUGUGCCCCCUUCAACUUAUCCCUGUGCCAUUCCUGCCUCUCCUCAGCUGGUUCCCUGCCCCGGAUCUAUUCCUCUCUCAGUCCCUAAUGCACAUGCCACUUCCCAGCCCUGGACUUGGCAACCCCAUUUCUUCUCUAUCACUGGCACAAGGCUUGGUCUCUGGUGGGCUAUUGGCACAUUAAAAAUAAACACGGCACCACCUGGAGAGCUGUGUAAAGUCUGUGACAAAAAAUGGCACGAGGGCCCUUCUCACAUAACAUUUAGGGUUUUUAAAUAAUAAUAUUGUUGUUUAAUUAACAUUUUUAUUGUGAUACGCUCUAGACUAUUGCAAUAGACUGGUCUCCAAAUGUAGUAGACCCAGUAAAAUACAUAGCAGUGACAGAUCCUCACUCAGAGGUUGUGAAAGACUGAAAGAGAAUGGCUGGAUGAGAUGGAAAAUGCAAGGAAAAGACAGGGUCAUAAUCAUAGGUUGUUUUAGCAUAGACUACUUAUGUGCAUACAUCUUAGUCAACUAGUAGCAAGUCUUCCCUCACAUUUAUACUAUAGAGAAAUUCACUGUACCAAGUUAUUUGUUUUAGUUCAUCUACUCCUAUUCCACGUUCCCCGGAUGAGCCUGUUUUGUGAUGUCUUAUUAGUUACUGUGGGCAUGGGAGUGUCUUGGUACAUGAUUAUUAGACUGGGCUCUGAAGCACUAUUGUUAGCUGGCAUUCUGGUGACUUACGGGGAAACAAAGGCCUUUUGUAAGAUCUUGGUGCUAUUUAACUUGUUUGUUUUCUUAUGCUUCAGUGAAUGCCUAGAAGACUAAAUCCUGUCUUUUAAACAGCUACAGAAAUAUAUUUUCCAAAGGUUCAAGAUGGCAAACUGCAGCUGUAUAAUGUAUGGAUUCUUUUGGUUCAUUUUGCUGGUGUUUAUUGGUUGGCCCAUAAGCAUUUUCCUGAGUGGCCUUUAUGGAUUCCUUUCCCCAAUCACUACUUUAGUAGGACUAGAUGAUGUCAGUGAAGCGCUGCUGCGUGGAGUAAAUCUGGGACGGCAGUGCGCUAGGAAUGUACUAAGUGGCAAGCCCCUCUGUUGAGAAGCGAAGACAAUAUCACAGCUGGCCUGCCUUCUACCAUGUGUUUCAUAGCAUUUAUUGUUAACCUUAAAUGUUUUCACUUCUGUACAAAAGUUGUUUGGUUUUAAUGAUGAAUUAAUGACAGUUGGUAGUUUAUGACGGGAAGAAUAAUAAGGAAGGUGUUUUGCUCUUUGGAGAAUGCAAUGGUAGCUUCCUGGUAAUCCCAAAAUGAGUAACAAUGCUAUCUUCACUUGUUUGAGUAAAUGCAUUGAAAGUACAGAGAAGCCCAAACAUGAACUUCACAUUCAUAUUCAAAUUCUUAAAAUCGAGGUUCCAUUUUCUAGGCAUACACAUUAUUGGCUCAGAGCUCAAGUGUUUCAAAUUUGGGAAGGUGAAGAUAUCUUUGGAUUCUGGAUUGUACUUUAUUUCAUUAUAAGAGAUGUGAAAUUCAGAUUUGAGGUUCUGGUAAGAUGCAUGUAAGUAUGUAUUUAUUUAUGUAUACACUUAAGAGCAUUCUUAAUUUAAUUCUUUAUAACAGAUAUUGACUUUCAUUUUACUUUACCACUUUGUCUAAUGAUAAGGAAGUUUUUAAGGAAAUUUUGUUUAUGUGGAUUCACUGCGUUGAAAUAUGACUUCAGGAUCAUUCAUGAAUAAUCAAUUGUCAUAAACUUACAUGUGAUUUUUUUUUUCUUUUCCAUUUAAUUGGAAUUUAAUUUUUUUAAUUUUAGAAUACGUUAAACCCUAAGUUAAAAUGUUAUCCAACCAGGUGCUUAGAAUCCUUAGACCUACUAAAAUUCGUGGAAAUUAUGGUGUUUUCAAAGUUUUUUUAAUUUGGUGGUCUUAACCUGUUUUUGCUAAUCCCUCUUCUGAUGUUUUUAUUAGAGUGAGUGUUUUUAUGGAAAAUUAUCUAGGUUUUUACAAACGUAGUGUUCUUUUGGAAGUGACCAUCAAUUCAACAACAGUGAAUAGCUAUUGUUGACAAGGUCAUUUUAUCUGCAUACUUUGUGUAUUUCCGGAAAUUACUUAGAAAUUAUUAAAACUGGAAAAAAGCUUGAAGGAAAUGAUCCAGAGGUAGGGUUCAGGGCAAAAUGGGCCAAUACUCUAACGCAUUAUUGAAAAGAAAAGGACUCAUCCACUUACAACAGUAAAAAAGCCUUCCAAGCUUUGUGGGGGGUGGGGAAAUAUCCCUGAAGCACAGCCUACCGGGAUUUACUGAUCUGGCUGUAGAAGUUUAAAUUGCAGGAGAGCACAUGUAAAUGAAGCCUUCACCCUUCUUGUAUAAUUUUAUACCUUAUUUUGGAUUGGUCUUCUCUUUAAAACUUUAUCCUCUACAAUUUGUUUGCUUAAUAAAUGUUCAAACAUAGGCAAGUUAUGGUUGUUAUGAGAGCUAUAAGUGUGAAUUUUCUGGAUAUUUGAAUUUUCAUUCAUGAAGUUGUACUGAAAUUUUUUAACUGAUUUCUUUAAAAAAAAAAAAUUAUUUGUAUUUAUUACACAUACAUGUGGCCUAUAAUUAAAAUAGUAUGAUGCUUUA